UACAUGGGGGUGCAGACGUUGCUCGGAAUUAUUGGGCGUAAAGCGCACGUAGGCGGUUCGUUAAGUCAGAUGUGAAAAGCCCCCCCGGCUCAACUGGGGGAGGGUCACGCGAUACUGAUCGACUCGAAGGCAGGAGAGGGUAGUGGAAUUCCCCGGUGUAGUGGUGAAAAUUGCGUAGAUAUCGGGAGGAACACCGGUGGCGAAGGCGGCCUUCUGGACGGAUACUGACGCUGAGACGCGAAAAGCGUGGGGAGCAAACAGG
rnacentral:rRNA from 1 species